GGCUUAACACAUGCAAGUCGAACGGGCACUUCGGUGCUAGUGGCAGACGGGUGAGUAACACGUGGGAACGUACCUUUCGGUUCGGAAUAAUACAGGGAAACUUGUACUAAUACCGGAUACGCCCUUUGGGGGAAAGAUUUAUCGCCGAUUGAUCGGCCCGCGUCUGAUUAGCUAGUUGGUGAGGUAAUGGCUCACCAAGGCGACGAUCAGUAGCUGGUCUGAGAGGAUGAUCAGCCACACUGGGACUGAGACACGGCCCAGACUCCUACGGGAGGCAGCAGUGGGGAAUAUUGGACAAUGGGCGCAAGCCUGAUCCAGCCAUGCCGCGUGUGUGAUGAAGGCCUUAGGGUUGUAAAGCACUUUUGUCCGGGAAGAUAAUGACUGUACCGGAAGAAUAAGCCCCGGCUAACUUCGUGCCAGCAGCCGCGGUAAUACGAAGGGGGCUAGCGUUGCUCGGAAUCACUGGGCGUAAAGGGCGCGUAGGCGGACUCUUAAGUCGGGGGUGAAAGCCCAGGGCUCAACCCUGGAAUUGCCUUCGAUACUGAGAGUCUUGAGUUCGGAAGAGGUUGGUGGAACUGCGAGUGUAGAGGUGAAAUUCGUAGAUAUUCGCAAGAACACCAGUGGCGAAGGCGGCCAACUGGUCCGAUACUGACGCUGAGGCGCGAAAGCGUGGGGAGC
rnacentral:rRNA from 1 species